AGUUCUGAUCAAAAUACACAAAGACACAAGCCAGGUCCCCACCGCGCUUGGCGAUGCAUCCAUAGCAGCCUUGGUGCUGUGGACACUCCCUGGGGCCCAGCGAAGGGGAGAGUUUGCUCCCAAAGGCGCACCAAUGACCAACAUUUGCCCCCCGGAGGAAAGAACUGGAACCAGCCUCUGACCUGUCCAGGUGCCCUGUCCAGCUGACUGCAAGGACAGAGAGGAGUCCUGCCCAGCUCUUGGAUCAGUCUGCUGGCCGAGGAGCCCGGUGGAGCCAGGGGUGACCCUGGAGCCCAGCCUGCCCCGAGGAGGCCCCGGCUCAGAGCCAUGCCAGAUUCCCCAGCAGAGGCAGGCCAGGCUGAGGGGUGCAGUGCCCGGCCCCUCCUAUGAGACAGGCAUCAUGGUGUCACCAGGGGUGGGCAACAGGUGUCUGUGAUAGGGCCCCUGACUUCCUCUCCCCGUCUGAAGACCAGGUGCUGAGGCCUGCCUUGGGCAGCUCAGUGGCUCUGAACUGCACGGCUUGGGUAGUCUCUGGGCCCCACUGCUCCCUGCCUUCA
rnacentral:lncRNA from 1 species